rnacentral:rRNA from 1 species
CAGCCGCCGCGGUAAUACAGAGGGUGCGAGCGUUAAUCGGAAUUACUGGGCGUAAAGCGUGCGCAGGCGGUUUUGUAAGACAGAGGUGAAAUCCCCGGGCUCAACCUGGGAACUGCCUUUGUGACUGCAAGGCUAGAGUACGGCAGAGGGGGAUGGAAUUCCGCGUGUAGCAGUGAAAUGCGUAGAUAUGCGGAGGAACACCGAUGGCGAAGGCAAUCCCCUGGGCCUGUACUGACGCUCAUGCACGAAAGCGUGGGGAGCAAACAGGAUUAGAUACCCCCGUAGUCCCUGUCUCUUAUAC